GCCGGACGAGGGAAUGGCGGCCGAGCCGGGCGCCGCUCCGGCCGACGCGACGCCGAUCCCGGUGGAAGCCCCGGAUCCUUCCGCGAUCCAGCC
rnacentral:tRNA from 1 species